GAUAUGAUCAAAGCCACGUGUAACAAAUCUUAUCGACAGACGAACGACCAAUAACUACUCACGUGUCACCACGAUCCGAUUAUUAUCCUCUCGAUCCAACGGACCCAAUACACUCUCUCUUCCUCUCUCUCUCUAGCGGCGACCUCCGAUUUACCGUUAGAUCUGAGAUGGCGGAUUCCGACAACGAUUCAGGCGGCCACAAGGACGGAGGCGGCGCGUCGUCGCGUGAGCAGGAUAGGUUUCUGCCGAUCGCGAACGUGAGCCGGAUCAUGAAGAAAGCAUUGCCGGGGAACGCGAAGAUCUCCAAGGACGCGAAGGAGACCGUGCAGGAGUGCGUAUCGGAGUUCAUCAGCUUCGUCACCGGCGAGGCGUCCGACAAGUGUCAGAGAGAGAAGAGGAAGACGAUCAACGGCGACGAUCUUCUCUGGGCGAUGACGACGCUAGGGUUCGAGGAUUACGUGGAGCCGUUGAAGGUCUACCUGCAGAAGUACAGGGAGUUGGAAGGGGAGAGGAUGACGACGGGGAGACAGGGGGAUAAGGAAGGUGGCGGCGGCGGAGGAAAUGGAAGCUCCGGGGGAUCCGGAGGAGGGAUGUACGGUGGGAUUGUGACGAUGGGGCAUCAUCAUCAAGGACACGUGUACGGUGGAAGUGGGAUAAAUUAGAGAAUGAGAUACGUCUCUGCUCUCUCCUUGCGGCAGCUCUGACUUGGUUAACUCGAAAUGGCUCUCACAGGAGAAUACUAUAUGCAAUAUGGGUGUUAUACGCCAUUUAAGAGCCCGUAUACUCAUAAACUAUUAUAAUUUCGGUGAGAUUAUAGCACACUGUACACGUUGCUAGGUUCCCAGCUUAGAUUAUAUUGGUCGUAUCUCCUUGCUAGCCAAAUACAAAAAGAGUCACUCAAAGAUUAGUGUUGUAGAGGGUGGAUUCGACAUCCCUCGAGGCCCGAAGAACAGACGGCCCAGCCCACUCAGAACGAAACGGUGUCUCGGCUUGACGGCUCGAAACGCGCGUCUAAGCGUCCUCGACUCAACAGCUACUCGAGACAAUGUGGGCUUCUCGGCCCAACGAGUCAAAAGCCCACGGAGACGACGCAAACUAGGUCACGGGAGAGUACGAGGUCAACUAUAUAAAGGGAAGGGAACGCA